rnacentral:rRNA from 1 species
CCUACGGGUGGCUGCAGUGAGGAAUAUUGGUCAAUGGACGAGAGUCUGAACCAGCCAAGUAGCGUGAAGGAUGACUGCCCUAUGGGUUGUAAACUUCUUUUAUAUGGGAAUAAAACGUUCCACGUGUGGGAUUUUGUAUGUACCAUAUGAAUAAGGAUCGGUUAACUCCGUGCCAGCAGCCGCGGUAAUACGGAGGAUCCGAGCGUUAUCCGGAUUUAUUGGGUUUAAAGGGAGCGUAGGUGGAUUGUUAAGUCAGUUGUGAAAGUUUGCGGCUCAACCGUAAAAUUGCAGUUGAAACUGGCAGUCUUGAGUACAGUAGAGGUGGGCGGAAUUCGUGGUGUAGCGGUGAAAUGCUUAGAUAUCACGAAGAACUCCGAUUGCGAAGGCAGUUCACUGGACUGCAACUGACACUGAGGCUCGAAAGUGUGGGUAUCAAACAGGAUUAGAUACCCUUGUAGUC